rnacentral:rRNA from 1 species
AUUGAACGCUGCGGCAGGCUUAACACAUGCAAGUCGAGCGAACGUCGGACGGGUGAGUAAUGCUUAGGUAUCUGCCUGUUAGUGAGGGACAACUUCUCGAAAGGGAUGCUUAUACCGCAUACUAAUAGAUGAGCUUAAGUCGGAUUAGCUAGUUGGUGGGGUAAAGGCCUACCAAGGCGACGAUCUGUAGCGGGGCUGAGAGGAUGAUCCGCCACACUGGGACUGGGACACGGGCCAGAAUCCUACGGGAGGGAGCAGGGGGGAAUAUUGGACAAUGGGGCGAAACCUGAUCCAGCCAUGGCGGGUGUGUUAAGAAGGGCUUAUGGUUGUAAAGAACUUUAAGCUAGGAGGCGUUACUCGCAGAAUAAGCACCGGCUAACUCCGUGCCAGCAGCCGCGGUAAUUC